ensembl:snRNA U1 U1 spliceosomal RNA
ACAUGUCCCUUUCAGGUGAGAUACCACAGUUGUGAAGGUAGUUUUUCCGGGGUGAGGCCCAUCCAUUGCAAUCUGCGUCUGCUGACCCCUGCAAUUUUUCCAAAUGGAAGAAACGUGAUUGCAUAAUUUCUGGUGUUGGGGAACUGUGUUCAUGCUUUGCCUUC